GCAGAAGAAGAAGCAGAAGUAGAAGAAGAAGAAGAAGAAUGCGAGCAUAAUUAAUUAAGAAAUGGAUGCCAAAGAUGUGAAGUGGGAACUUGUUAUUUAUUGAGAAAUGAGAAAGCACAUAAAACAAAUAGAGACAUACAUAAGACUGAAGAAUGAUUCCGGUUGGAGGUCGAGGUGAUUUUAAAGGUAGGAAUCCACGCGGUGUGAUCCCGAUCUUCCAGGUGUGGAGUGAUCGACGGCUGUAGUCCUGAGUCUACGCGUUGGGUCAAAUCAGCGAGGAAACCCCCAUUAUUUCUGAGGCGGGGAUUGAUGCCAAAGAGAGGAUUGCGUUUGCUUCAUGGGGACACGGGAUUUCCUAUGCAGAAACUACAUGCUCAACGGCUUGAGUGAUAUAUUUUACAACAUAUAUAGCUCAGCCAAGACUACAAGAUCACUUUGGCAGUCCUUGAGAACGAAAUACAAACUAAAGGAUACCGGCUUGAAGAAUUCAUAGUCGGGAAGUUUUUGGAAUUCAAAUGGUGGAUUCCAAAAUGGUAAUGAGCCAAGCCCAAGAGUUUCAAAUGAUUAUGCAUGAUUUGUAUGUAGAAGUGAUGAAACUUAGUAAAUCCUUUCAUGUCUCUGCUAUGAUUGAAAAGCUACCACAGCUAUGAAAGAAUUUCAAAAGUUACUUGAAGCACAAGUGGAAAGAGAUGAGAAUUUGAUUGUUAGAUUGACGAUUGAAGAAAACAGUUGGUUGUUUGAGGUGAAAUCCAAAAUGUUACAA